rnacentral:ncRNA from 2 species
CGUUACCCUGGCGCCGAUGGUUCCUCCCCGGAGGAUGAAAAGGGAACGCGGGUGCAAAUCCCCGGCUGUCCCCGCAACUGUAAGCGCAGAGCCGCGCGCCACAUGCCACUGGGAAACCGGGAAGGCGGCGCAUCCGGCAGAGACGCGUGAGCCAGGAGACCUGCCAUCGAGAGCGUCAGCGU